AGCGUAGGUGGCCUAACAUGUCAACUGUGAAAAACCCGGAGCUCAACUCCGGACUUGCAGUUGAAACUGGUAGGCUUGAGGACGGUAGAGGAAGACGGAACUGCCAGUGUAGGGGUAAAAUCCUUAGAUAUUGGCAGGAACGCCGGUGACGAAGGUGGUUUUCUGGGCCGGUUCUGACACUGAUGCUCGAAAGCCAGGGGAGCGAACG
rnacentral:rRNA from 1 species